rnacentral:rRNA from 1 species
UACGUAGGGUGCGAGCGUUAAUCGGAAUUACUGGGCGUAAAGCGUGCGCAGGCGGUUUUGUAAGUCAGAUGUGAAAUCCCCGGGCUCAACCUGGGAACUGCAUUUGAGACUGCAAAGCUAGAGUGUGGCAGAGGGGGUGAAUUCCACGUGUAGCAGUGAAAUGCGUAGAGAUGUGGAGGAACACCGAUGGCGAAGGCAGCCCCUGGGCCAUACUGACGCUCAUGCACGAAAGCGUGGGUAGCAAACAGGAUUAGACUACCGGUAGU